AAUGAUGCAUUAAAUAUUUAUAAAUUCCAUCCAAGGAUUAUUGUUAUUAUUACUAUAUUAAUCCUACAUUAUAUCAGUACACCU